rnacentral:rRNA from 1 species
AGAGAGAGACAUGCGCGCAUAUCAAUAAGCGGAGGAAAAGAAACUAACAUAGGAUUCCCUCAGUAACGGCGAGUGAAGCGGGAAGAGCUCAAAUUUGAAAUCUUCAAGGUUCUACCUUGACGAAUUGUAGUUUAAAGAAGUGUUUUCUGUUGAAGUUUUGGUAAAAGUUCUUUGGAAUAGGACAUCAUAGAGGGUGAGAAUCCCGUAUUUGACCAUUAUUUCCAGCUUUGUGAUACACUUUCAAAGAGUCGGAUUGUUUGGGAAUGCAGUCCAAAAUGGGUGGUAAAUUUACAUCUAAAGCUAAAUACUGGCGAGAGACCGAUAGCGAACAAGUACCGUGAGGGAAAGAUGAAAAGAACUUUGAAAAGAGAGUUAAACAGUACGUGAAAUUGUCAAAAGGGAAGCGUUUGACACCAGUGUUGUUUUCUCGAAAAUCAAUUAAAAAUGGCAUGGAUUUUGUGUUGUAUUGACUUUAUCAGCUUUCUGCACUCUUUUCUUGUCUUUUUUAAUGCACUUUUCGUUUAACAAGUCAACAUCAAUUUCUUUUGUUGUAAAAGGGUCAUUGGAAGGUGGCUUUCUUUUCGGAGAAAGUGUUUAUAGCCUUUGGCCUCUGCAAUCGGAGAGAUUGAGGUCUGCAGCGUAGAUCCUUCGGGGUUAGAUGACAUUUGUGCUAAGUUAUAGCCUUUCAUAGACAACUUGUUGACUAUGAUCAGUCAUGUAGCUUACUCGCUUAUGUCUAUUUUACCUACGCUUAGGAUGUUGACAGCAGUAUAGACUGU